AGAGUUUGAUCCUGGCUCAGAUUGAACGCUGAUGCUUUACACUGCAAGUCGAACGGUAACAGGCCUUCGGGCGCUGACGAGUGGCGAACGGGUGAGUAAUGCAUCGGAACGUGCCGUGUAGUGGGGGAUAACGUAGCGAAAGUUACGCUAAUACCGCAUACGCCCCGAGGGGGAAAGUGGGGGACCGCAAGGCCUCACGCUAUACGAGCGGCCGAUGUCGGAUUAGCUAGUUGGUAGGGUAAAGGCCUACCAAGGCGACGAUCCGUAGCGGGUCUGAGAGGAUGAUCCGCCACACUGGGACUGACACGGCCCAGACUCCUACGGGAGGCAGCAGUGGGGAAUUUUGGACAAUGGGCGCAAGCCUGAUCCAGCCAUGCCGCGUGAGUGAAGAAGGCCUUCGGGUUGUAAAGCUCUUUCAGACGGAAAGAAAUCGGUGUGUCUAAUACACGCACUGGAUGACGGUACCGUAAGAAGAAGCACCGGCUAACUACGUGCCAGCAGCCGCGGUAAUACGUAGGGUGCGAGCGUUAAUCGGAAUUACUGGGCGUAAAGCGUGCGCAGGCGGUUAUGUAAGACAGAUGUGAAAUCCCCGGGCUCAACCUGGGAACUGCGUUUGUGACUGCAUAACUAGAGUACGGCAGAGGGAGGUGGAAUUCCACGUGUAGCAGUGAAAUGCGUAGAGAUGUGGAGGAACACCGAUGGCGAAGGCAGCCUCCUGGGCCAGUACUGACGCUCAUGCACGAAAGCGUGGGGAGCAAACAGGAUUAGAUACCCUGGUAGUCCACGCCCUAAACGAUGUCAACUAGUUGUUCGGUGAGGAGACUCAUUGAGUAACGCAGCUAACGCGUGAAGUUGACCGCCUGGGGAGUACGGCCGCAAGGUUAAAACUCAAAGGAAUUGACGGGGACCCGCACAAGCGGUGGAUGAUGUGGAUUAAUUCGAUGCAACGCGAAAA
rnacentral:rRNA from 1 species